GGUUCAGGUGGGUCUCCGUGUGGCAGCACAUACGGUAGCGGGCGGAGAAGCGCGCGCACCACCAGCAGGUAGAACUCAGUGGUGGCCUGAAAGGGAGUGAUGCGCUCUCGACAAACUUUGGGCCCGUUCCAGCGGAUAUAUCUUCUUUAAUAGAUAAAUAUCAACAGCGCAAAGAGCAAGAGAGGCGGGAAUGUACUAUUCACGUAUAACAUUCCAUAAUCCAAUGUAACUAAGAUUUAUUUUAGUCCAAAUAAAGCUACUGCAUUGCCCAAAGCAUGACUACUAUUUAACUUUCUAAAAAUUCAUCCCUCCAUUCGUAAAUUUCUAAUUGAAAUAAUGCCAGGCCAUAAUUGCACAGUAAAAGGGCUUAAGAUUUUGUGUGAUGAAGUCACUAAUAUAUGUGACACCCCAAUUAUUUAAUGUUAUAAAGAGUAUUGUUAUAUAAAUUAUAUAAUGUGAUUUAUCUGAAUACUGUUAAUCUGUGACAGUUUAUUGUUUA